rnacentral:rRNA from 1 species
GGCGAACGCUGGCGGCGUGCUUAACACAUGCAAGUCGAACGCUGAAGACCUGGCUUUUGUUGGGUUGGCUGAGUGGCGAACGGGUGAGUAACACGUGAGUAACCUGCCCUCUUCUUUGGGAUAACGCCCGGAAACGGGUGCUAAUACUGGAUAUUCACUGAUCUUCGCAUGGGGGUUGGUGGAAAGGUUUGUUCUGGUGGGGGAUGGGCUCGCGGCCUAUCAGCUUGUUGGUGGGGUGAUGGCCUACCAAGGCUUUGACGGGUAGCCGGCCUGGGAGGGUGACCGGUCACAUUGGGACUGAGAUACGGCCCAGACUCCUACGGGAGGCAGCAGUGGGGAAGAUAGCACAAUGGGCGAAAGCCUGAUGCAGCGACGCCGCGUGAGGGAUGGAGGCCUUCGGGUUGUAAACCUCUUUCGCUCAUGGUCAAGCCGCAACUGUGGGUUGUGGUGAGGGUAGUGGGUAAAGAAGCGCCGGCUAACUACGUG